CCUGAAUCAUAUCCUAACUGACGACAGGCAACACUUGCAUCAGUGUUAUCCCAGUAGUCAUCACAAACAGUACCCCAUGCACCAGCACUACUGCAUACUUCAACACGUCCCUCACUGGUACUAGUACCACCCACGAGUCGAAUAGAACCACUAGUGCAUGCUAAUCCAUGACGUAUUCUUGUCAAAAGAAAGGCUACUAUCACCAAAAUAGCUCCAGGUUUCAUUACGAGUGUAGAAAGCGAACACAAUAGACAGCAUCUAGAUCUAAUCUAUGAUGAUCCGGAAGUAUAGUAGCAGGGCGGAGUGAAGUGAGCAAUGAAUCUGGUUGGAAAGAGACAUUCCUGUACAGUACCGACAAUCUGCAGACCUCAGUCUUGGCAAGAGAAAAACAUAGCUGCAGGACAUUUGACAGUUCUAUUGUAUUGGUUUUCGUAGAAGCCUCCUUCAAGAGAAUUUGUACACUCGUCCCUCAGAAUAUCAUAAGGUUCUAAUCAAGCCUGCAAUUGAAGGACUACAUGGAGGUUUACUGUCAAUCAUUAGAGAAGGUGGUAGUAACCUAAUUCAGUGUAGGGCAAAGACAACUCUUUUGUUUGGCAAGAGCUCUACUGAGAAAUAACCAAAUUCUAGUAAUGGAUGAAAAACUGAUUCUAUCAUUCAAGAAGUAAUUCGUGAGCAGUUUAGUGAAUGUACUAUACUGACUGUUGCACAUCGCCUGAAUACUGUAAUGGAUUAUGAUAAAAUCAUGUGUGCUUGUUAAUGCAGUCUCAUUCCCAAUAGGUACUUGAAUAAAAAUUUGGGGUAAUUUUGAGGCCAUUUUUUGGGA